UGUGGUGGGGCUCAGUGGUAGAGUGCUUGCCUAGCAUGUGUGAGGCACUGGGUUCGAUCCACAGCACCACAC
rfam:Ictidomys tridecemlineatus contig071875, whole genome shotgun sequence.